rnacentral:rRNA from 1 species
UACGGGAGGCAGCAGGAUGGAAUAUUGGUCAAUGGAGGCAACUCUGAACCAGCCAUGCCGCGUGAAGGAUGACGGCCCUAUGGGUUGUAAACUUCUUUUAUAGAGGAAGAAACUUGUGCUACGUGUAGACAACUGACGGUACUCUACGAAUAAGGAUCGGCUAACUCCGUGCCAGCAGCCGCGGUAAU